rnacentral:misc_RNA from 1 species
CCGAGUUAGGGUCUCCUGGCCCGACCUCCAACCCAGUGUCUAUAUUACUGUGUUGCUUUGGUGGACCCGCCCGUACCUGGGCCGUCGGAGACCUCGUCUCUGGCCCGUGUCCGCCAGUGGCCUUCUCAAAUUCUUUCAACCGUGCCGUGACUGAAUCAAAAAAAAAAUAGUUA